CCCCAAGAAACCACCUUUGAUCUGCGCCUUUCUAAACAAAAAGAGACACGUUUACCAUGGUAACCUUCAGUCAGUUUCAGCCUUGAGAGCCGUGUUAUUUCCAAUUGUCCCCGCCCGUGCCGACAGUGAAAUCCGCACGGAACGUCCAUGUCGAUUUCCGAGUAUCGCCAGCGCGGCGUCAACCCAGCAUGGACAAUACAGAGGGCAUGAAUAAGACUGACUCUGAAAGCACUGUUCUGAUAACCAAUGAGAGCGACAUUGGCCUCUCUACAACUGUCCAACGAGCCAUAGGAAAAAUUGAGACCGCGCAGUUGGCGAGAGCAAGACAGGAAGUUGCAGAACGUUUGAAGGACAUUCUGGACAAAGUGAAUUUUGCUUUGAGUCACGCAAGAUUUGACCACCAACAAGUGCCCAAAAUCACCUUCACCCCUGAAAAAAAGGAAAGGGAAUGGUUGAUCGAUACAAUCGCUGAAUUUGCAACUGGCAACAGCACCAAAGAGGAAAUCUUAAAGUUUAUUCUACAAUGGCUAUCAGACAGCAGUAUGCAGUUUAUUAUAAAGUAGUUGAUCUUCAGUGGCGUUAUGUAUUGAAUGGGGCAAAUUGUAAUCUAACUCACCCAUUUUGAGAAGCAGAGAAGUGCAGUUGUUUGAAGUAUAAGACUUUCUGUGACGGUACAAGCUGAGGAGCUGGGUGAUGUAAAAACAAGAUAUUUCAGCACUCCAGCUGGUGGGAGGGUGUAAUUACAGUGAUUAAUUAAAAACACACAUUCAUUAUAAAUGUAGACAUCGGGAAUUUAUGAUAGGAAAGGUUGUCAUAAAAGUUUAACAAAAAAUGAUGAGGAAGUAGAGUUUGGGCAUAGGACAUAUGCAUAAAUCUUAGAUUUUUUGGUAUUAUUAAAAUUGGUGUAUUGAAUAUAGAAUAGUAGGAACUUAAUAAUUUGCAUGUCCUAAUGGCAAUGUAAGCAAGGAAAGAGGAUUUCCAGGUCAUCCCAUCAACCAGGAUCCCAUUAAACCAUUUAUUAUAUUCUCCAUUACAAUUCCCUUGCUUUGUGCUGGAUAUGGGCCAGGUAAAGUUUUGAUUCAAACACUUCACCAGUGAGUAUUUAUGACACAAGGUGACAGACUAAAGAACAAGGCAACACUCAAUAUAAGUAUGUUAUCCAGUAGGUAAAGACACUGUUUUUGUACAAUAUACAAGCUAAUAUGAAACAGGUUUCAUUCCAGGCCUGUGUGCGUGUGUCUCACAGCAUUUGUAGCACCAAGACUGGAUUACUUAUGAAGGCUAAUCAGCCAGUGUCCUGUUGCUACUCAGCAGCUCUUGAUGGAAUAUAUUCAUAUAUGCAUAUCCAGUAAGAACAGCAUCAUAACUGAGUGGCUGAAUAUGAUUGAUUGUCAAAAAGCAGACUGAUUUUAGGAAAAUACUAAUUUAACAAGAAGGACACAUUGAAUGUAGGGUUGUUUGGCAUUGGUGAAAAGGUCAGAGUUUGUUGUCCAUCCCAAAUUGUCCUUGAAAUGGGUGGCUUACUGGGCUGUUUCAGAAGGCAGUUAAGAGCCAACCAUGUCGUGGAUCUGGAGUCAUAAGUAGGCCAGACCAGGUAAUGGCAGCAAACCUCCUUUCCUAAAGGGCAUGAGUGAAAUGGGUGGAUUUUUACAGUAGUUUCAUGGUCACCGUUACUCAGGCUCAUUUUAUAAUUCUAGAUUUUAACAAUUGAAUUUAAAUUCCAGCAGCUGUGGGUGGAUUUGAACCCAUAUCCCCAGAUCAGUGGUUUGGGUCUCUCGAUUACAAGUCCAAUCGCACUAUCACUAUACUAACACCUCUAAUAUUCCGAUGUUUUUCAUUAAACCACAUAUUAGAACAAUUCACGUUUUAGGCAUGCACCUAAUUAGAGUCAGCUGUAGGUUCCAAGGAAAGUUGUUGACUGUAGAAGUAUUUGUAGGCCUAGUUUUAAGAAUUAUUCUCUCAUGUUUAUUAAAUGGAUCUUCAUGAUUUUAUAUUUGCGAUAUAACCCAACCACAUUGCAACAACUCGUCGAGAUGUGAAAGGACUGCAGAGUAAGACUUGUAUUUAAUUUAUAAUUCAACAAUUGUAUCAAAGCCAAAUCUUUUCACAUGAACAGAAUUGGAAAUGCAUCUUUAGAUGUUCCACACAUAAAGCAUUUGAUGAUUAAUAUAUGUUUAUUGACAUUUGCCAGGGACUGGAAUGAUGCCUUCAAGUGUGCA